CUACGGGAUGCAGCAGUGAGGAAUAUUGCACAAUGGGGGGAACCCUGAUGCAGCAACGCCGCGUGGAGGAUUACGCAUUUCGGUGUGUAAACUCCUUUUAUAUGUCAAGAAAAUGACAGUAGCAUAUGAAUAAGCACCGGCUAACUCCGUGCCAGCAGCCGCGGUAAUACGGAGGGUGCAAGCGUUACUCGGAAUCACUGGGCGUAAAGGACGCGUAGGCGGGUUGGAAAGUCAGGUGUGAAAUCCUACAGCUUAACUGUAGAACUGCACUUGAAACUUCUAAUAUAGAGUAUGGGAGGGGGAGAUGGAAUUAGUGGUGUAGGGGUAAAAUCCGUAGAUAUCACUAGGAAUACCUAAAGCGAAGGCGAUCUCCUGGAACAUUACUGACGCUAAGGCGUGAAAGCGUGGGGAGCAAACAGGAUUAGAUACCCGCGUAGUC
rnacentral:rRNA from 1 species